GUUGUAGUGAGCCGAGACCCACGCCACUGCACUCCAGCCUGCGUGAGAGAGUGAGACUCCGUCUCAAAAAAACAAACAAACAAACAAACAAAAAAGAACUUCCCGAGAUGGAGUGACUUAUAAAGGAAAGACAUAUAAUUGACUCACAGUUCAGCAUGGCUGGGGAGGCCUCAGGAAACUUGCAAUCACGGCGGAAGGUGAAGGAGAAGCAAGGCGCCUUCUUCACAAGGUGGCAAGGAGAAGAGUGGCGGAGCGAAGGGGGAAGGGCCCCUUAUAAAACCAUCAGAUCUCGUGAGACUCACUCACUAUCACGAGAACAGCAUGGGGAAAACUGCCCCCAUGAUUCAAUUUCCUCCACUUGGUCUCUCCCUUGAUACGUGGGGAUUAUGGGGAUUACAAUUCAAGAUGAAAUUUUGAAUGGGGACACAGCCAAACCAUAUCAGUCAACAAUAUAGAGGCAGAGAUCUUAAAGACUUAGACUAUUGGACUUUCAACUUUUGGAACCUCCAAAAGCCAGGUGAAAACAGCAACAGGAUCGGAAGCCAAAGUGAAAGCUGAAGACUGUGCAGAUGAACAAGACACCAAAAUCUGAGACAUCAAUCUUCUGCAUUUGAACUCAGACUCAGACUGAGACUUACAACAUUGGCUCUCCUGGUUCUCAGGCCUUCAGACUCAGACUGAAACUUGCACUUAUCUCCUCUAAGAUGAAUGAGUUCUUGCAUCUGGCCCUUCUUACAACAACAACAAAAAAAAAGAGACACAAUACCUAGUAGGCCUUUUUCAGUUUUGGAGGCAACAUAGUCUUCAUUUGGAGGCAUUACUCCGUCCCACUUACCAGCUAAUCCAAAAAGCUUCUAGUUUUUUUUCUUUUUCUUUCUUUGUUUUGAGGCAAGGUCUCACUCUGUUGCCCAUGCUGGAGUACAAUAGCGCAAUCAUGGCUCAUUGCAGCCUCAACCUUCCAGGCUCAAGUGAUCCUCCUACCUCAGUCUCCUGAGUAGCUAGAACCACAGGUGGGUGCCACCAAGCCUGGAUUUUUUUUUUUUUUUUUUUGCCUGUAGAUAUGGGGUCUCCCUAUGUUGCCCAGGCUGGUCUCAAACUCCUGGACUCAAGAGACCUCCCACCUCAGCCUCCCAAAGUCCUGGGAUUACAGAUGUGAGCCACUGUGCCCACCCAGCUGCUAGUUUUGAGUGUGACCCAAAAUAAGAGAAGGCUCUGCAAGAGAUCCAGUCUGACAUGCAUCUACUCUGUCACUUGGUCCAUAGGAUUCAGCAGAUCCAGUGCUGCUUACGGUGUCAGUUUUCAAUUAGGGUGCUGUUUGGAGCCUUUGACAGGCCUAGGUGAGUCACAGCCCAGGUCCAUAGGAUUUUGGAGCAAAGCCCUGCCAUUAUCUACAGAUAACUACUCUCUUUUUAAGAAAUAGUUCUUGGCCUGUUACUGAACCUUAGUAGAAACUGAAUGUUUAACCAUGGAUCACCAAGUUACCAGGUAACCUGAGCUGCCCAUCAUGAACUGGGUGUUAUCUGACCCACCAAGCCAUAAGGUUGGGCAUGCAUAGCAGCACUCCAUCAUUGAAUGGAAGCAAUAUAUACAUGACUUGUCCCAAGCAGGCCCUGAAGGCACAAGUAAGCUACAUGAAAUGCCUGUGGUCCCCACAGCUGCUACGCUGCCUUCUUUCUCCCAGUCUCACCUGUGGCCUUAUGGGGAGUUCCCUACAAUCAAUUGACAGAGAAACAGAAGAUUUGGGCCUGGUUCCGCACAAUAUACUUGAAAGUAGACAGCAAUAGCACUUCAGCCCCUUUCUGAGACAUUCCUGGAGGACAUUGGUGAAUAGAAAUCUUCCCAGUGACCAGAAUUUUGAGCAGUGCACAUGGUUGCUCACUCUGCUAGGAAGGAGAAAUGACCAGAUGUGCAAUAAUAUGCCAAUAUAUGGGCUAUUGGCAAUGGUUUGCCUGGAUGGUAAGGGAUUGGAAGGAACAUGAUUGGAAAAUUGUUGGCAAGGGAAUGUGGGGAAGAAGUACAUGGAUAGACCUAUCUGAAUGGGCAAAAAUUGUGAAGAUGUUUGUGUCCUAUGUGAAUGCUCACCAAAGGUUGACCUCAGCAGAGGAAGAUUUUAAUCAAGUGCAUAGGAUGAUCUAUUCCAUAGAGAUCAGUGAGCCUCUUUCCUCAGUCACCCCAUCAUUGCCCAAUGGGCUCAUGAACAAAGUGGCCAGGGUGGCAAGAAAGAAGGCUAUGAAUGGGCUCAGCAACAUGGACUUCCACUCAACAAGGUCAACCUAGCUAUGACCACUGCUAUGUGCCCGAUAUUCCAGUAGCAGAGACCAACACUGAGCUCCCAAUAUGGCACCAUUCCCGAGGCUAAUCAGCCAGCUACCUGAUGGCAGGUUGAUUACAUUGGCGUGCUUUCAUCAUGAAAAGCUGGGACAUCUAUCUUCUCCUGCCUUCACACUCAGACUCAGAUUGGAUCUUACACUAUUGGCCUUCCUGGUUCUCAGGUCAAAAUACAACUAUACCAUCAGCAAUCCUGAAUCUCCAGCUUGCUGACUGUAAAUCUUAGGACUUCUCAGCUUUCACAACCAGAACCCAGACUAAUACAAGAACCAAAUCUACGUCCAAGGCAAGGCAACGUAGUAAAGCAAGAAAUCAUCAGAACCUGGCUUGGGACUGAAGUGGAAGAAGAAGGGCUGUUCAUUGGCAAGAAUCAAAGUUUUUAAAUCAUAAAACAGACAUAGGCGCCGGGCGCCGUGGCUCACGACUGUAAUCCCAGCACUUUGGGAGGCUGAGAUGGGUGGAUCACCUGAGGUCAGGAGUUUGAGACCAGCGUGGUUAACAUGGCAAAACCCUGUCUCUACUAAAAAUACAAAAAUUAGCCAGGCAUGGUAGUGCGCACCUAUAAUCCCAGCUCCUCAGGAGGCUGAGGCAGGAGAAUUGCUUGAACCCGAGAGGCAGACGUUGUAGUGAGUUGAGAUCAUGCCACUGCACUCCAGCCUGGACGACAGAGCAAGACUCCGUCUCGGAAAAGAAAAAAAAAUAGACAUAUUCAUUUUUUACUUUACAGUCUAAUAGGAAUUUUUUCCUGUUAGAAAAUAUUAUUUGUAAAUGUAAUUUUAAUUGUUGUAUAAUAUUCCAUCAAAUAAAUAUAUCACAAUUUAUUUAGCCAUUCAUAUUUUUAGACCUUGGGGUUGCAUCAUCUUCCUCUUCUUCUUCCUUCUCCUCCUCCUCUUCCUUCUCCCAUUCAUUUUUCUUCUUUGCUGUUUUAAUUAACACUUAAAUAUACAUCCUGGUACCAGAGUAUAGAUGAAUAUAUGAACAAAUGAAAUAAUAGAUCUGUAUUGAACAUCUUUAACGCUAAUAUUCAUUAUCAUCACUAAUUAUUAUAUUACCUUAAGGAGAAUUCCUAGGAGUAAUAGUACUUAAUCAAAAGACUUACUUUUAUACUGCCAUUUCCAUUUCCCGUCAGAUAGGUUGGACCAAUUUAAUAUUCACUAACAGCAUAUAAGGGCUCCCAUUUUCC
rnacentral:lncRNA from 1 species